rnacentral:rRNA from 1 species
AACGAACGCUGGCGGCAUGCCUAACACAUGCAAGUCGAACGAGAUCUUCGGGUCUAGUGGCGCACGGGUGCGUAACGCGUGGGAAUCUGCCCUUUGGUUCGGAAUAACAGUUGGAAACGACUGCUGAUACCGGAUGAUGACGAAAGUCCAAAGAUUUAUCGCCAGAGGAUGAGCCCGCGUAGGAUUAGCUAGUUGGUGUGGUAAAGGCGCACCAAGGCGACGAUCCUUAGCUGGUCUGAGAGGAAGAUCAGCCACACUGGGACUGAGACACGGCCCAGACUCCUACGGGAGGCAGCAGUGGGGAAUAUUGGACAAUGGGCGAAAGCCUGAUCCAGCAAUGCCGCGUGAGUGAUGAAGGCCUUAGGGUUGUAAAGCUCUUUUACCCGGGAUGAUAACGACAGUACCGGGAGAAUAAGCUCCGGCUAACUCCGUGCCAGCCGCCGCGGUAA